GAAUACCAUGAAUGAAUGAACAUACAUGAGAACGAAGAGAUCAUGAUCAACCUGAAGAAUUAGAACAGACGGGGAUAUUAAAAAUGAAUGGAAAACAUGAGAAUGAAGAGAUCUUGAGCCGACUAACAGAAAACUUGAAUGAGGAACUGGAAUAAUUGAGAGACGGACGAAGAGACACAAUUGAGAAGAAUUUGAGAAUGAAAGCUGAAAGCUGAGAACGAAGAAAUCUUCUGAAAUGAUGGCCUUCGGAGGAUCAAGAAAAGAAACAACUCUGCAAAGCACCGGAUAGAUAUGGAAGGAAUUUCUCAUGAUUGGAAAAAAUUGAGAAGAUAGCGCGAAGCUGAGAUGACAAUCUUCAAAAGAAUGGACAAGAUUUAAGAGAAACUCUCCUUCCGUCUUCAAUGGAGAGAAUGGUAGCCAGGAACACCAUCAAGAAUUACUCACACUCUGGAUUAAUGAAUAAGGAAAAGUUGAGCCAAUGAUGAAAACAAAUUUGAAGCGAUCUUGGAGAAGGAAUAUGACUGAUGGGAUUCAUACUUACAUCAUAAUUAAAAAGAAUAAGAGAUCUUCGGAAAAGAUUAGAAGAGCAAGGUAAGAUCCUAGGAAAACCUGUGGGUUAUGGGUCCACUCAAAAGAAACCACCAUUGAAACAAUUGCUAAGAAAGAGAGAUAUUGCACUGGUACAAAUGAAAACUUGAUGAGGUGAGAACCUAAAAAAUUUGAACGGAUUGAAAACACGAAACUUCUGAGAUACCGUCAACACUCCGGAUAGAACAGAGAUGGAUGAAUAACAAGGGAAGCUUGAUGAGAAUUUGAACAUGGAAAAUCAUUUACAGGAUAAAAAGAACAUGAUGAGCACUCACAGCUUGAAUUGAAUUUACUGGAAAGAAAAAACAAGAAUAAAGAAUGAUGAACUAGCAACUCCUGAGAAUCUUCACAAUGAAUCACCGAAUACAAAACGGAAGAGACGAUAGCGGAAGCAACAUGAAAAGAAAUGCACUUGGAUAACAAUUAAAACACUAAAGAAAAGGGUGGAACGGUGGGGAAAAACAAAGAUAACUUGGGACAGAUGAGACGACCUCCGGAAAGAAAUGAGAGAUUGAUCUUGCAAAUAUUGGAGAGUACUUAAUUAUAUUGAAGAGAAGCACUCCGAUUGGUAAAGAAUUGACAUGACAACUCCGUUUGGCAAGAAUUGAUAAGACAAUUUGAUUGAGCAAAAGAAUUAGCACUCUCAUAAAAAAUAUGAGAAUAGCACUUUGGAAAGAUAUGAAGUCACCACUUGACAUUGAAGCAACUCGAAUUACCAUACUCCAACAAAACAAAGGAUGAGGCUUAUGAAACAAGCCAGAACAAAUUCAUGACAGAGAUUUCGCUCGAUAUUUUCGUUGUAAGCUUCGUACGGGCUCUAUCCUACAGUAGCCAUCAUGUACAAGGCAGUGCACACGACAUACGAAGCGUCCCCGAAUAGUAGCAAGCUACAAGGACUCUUUAAGACACAACGAGAAAUGUUGUAAGACGACCGUGAACAAACGAAUCCACUAGAUGUAGAACCCCAACCUCACAUCAUGCAUCUGUUGGAAGAUAAUCCUAUAGGUAAUGACUUGAAUUCCCACCUAAGAACUCCCGAAAUUUUCUGGUCAGGCAAUUGGGUCCACGGAUACAAGGAGUAAAAUCCAUCACUCAAAUCCUAGAAAUAACACUGACCCGUCUAGUGUCUCACAUCUGUAAACACACAACCAGAGAUCUCGGAAACUCAUCUACCUCAGAACCUCGAAAACACAACGAUACUAAGUAUGGCAGUACAUCCGGACACUCUGCACCAGUAUUAGGGAUGCCGGACUCCUCUCGCCACUAAUAGUAUUGAAGCAAUUUCGAACAUCCUCCAUCUUGAGAUACUAAGAAAUCUGAAUGAUAACGAUGUGCUCAAGAAUCCUCUGGAGCUCAACUCCCUGGAAGAAAUCAAUUCAAACAAGAGGCACCAAGACAGAACUCCGUCACAUCAACAUCACAUAGAUACCAAAAUACUCGUGUGAUCAUAAAAAAAUUGAGUGAGAAGAAGAGUACAAUUAAAAUUCUUACGUCAAGAUUCCUCACCAAAGCAUAGAAGAGGAGAAAAAAGAAUCCUACUCUCUGAUAUAUAACUAGACUCAAAACAGUUUUUCACUAGACUCGACUCGGCCAAGUUUGAUUAAUAAAGGGGCUCCUAGGUCGGUUCUACUCUGAUACCAACUUGUAACGCCCAAGAUGUGAUCCUAUCCUUAGUUUGGCAUGAGGGUCUUGACAGGGAUAGAAGCACAUCUCGUCGUUUCGCAAGAAUGUAUAUCGUUACAAGUACAUGUACAAAACAAAUGAGUAUAUGAAAUUGGCUUACACUCGCCACAAGCUACAGCAAGAUCACAUCAAUACAGCAAUAUACAGUCAUCAUGUAGAAGAGCACAGUCCGGCUACAGAUGAAAACAAACGACAAAAGAACGACGUCCAUCCUUGCUAUCCAAGGCUGCCGUCCUAGAACCCAUCCUAGAUCGAUCAAGAAAAAGAAGAAGAAACUCCAAAUAGAAAAAUCAUUACGUCCACGUCAAAGAAUAUAUUUACAUGUACAUGUAACUUGUGUUGUAGUAAUCUGUGAGCCACAGGGACUCAACAAUCUCAUUUCCAAAGGUAUUAAGACUAACAAAGCUUAAUGGGUGAUGUAUUGUUAAGUGGUGAGGCUGCAGCAAGCGACUACGCAUUUAUUUGAGGUGGCUAACUUAGGAGUACAAGAUUAAAGGGGGAUGUUCUAUGCAUUAUGGACGUGAACUAAUAAUGACCAAAUGAAUGAUCCUGAACACCUACUUAUGUCAAGCAUAUCCCCACUGUGUCCUCUUCCGGGUAUAGAACUCACGAGCAGAUAUAGUUACGGUUACACACAUAGUUGGCAAGUUUUAAUUAAGUUUACUUCAAUUUAUCUAGAACCGAAAGUUAAACAAAGUUUCCAAGUUUGCCACAUAACCGCCGUCACGGCUUUCCGAUAGAUUUAACCCUGUCGGGGUGCUCCAACUAGUCCAUCACAAACUACCACACGCUGCGCCGGAAUGACCUUGAUCAGGGAAACCCGUGAUCUUGUCGGGUUCCUACUGGAAAACCUCAACCUCGAGAUAGCCCAGAGUAUCCUCGGAAUCCCAUACACGAGACGCACGAGAAAGGUAAAACAAGUCCAGCAAGGUCACCCGACGUGUCGACGAUCCCGAUAGAAGCCGUGUAUCUCGUUCUCAGGACACGACGGAUAAGCAAAGCGUACGGUGGCCUGAUAGACAUAUCCCGAGUUGCCCCGGGUUAGCCCCACAUGGCGCUCUAUUUUGGACCAGCACCAGCAGCACGGCCCCCUGUAUUAUGUUGAAUUACUCAUCGGGUUCUUGACGCCCUAUGUUUUUCAGUAUUAUUAUGUUGGGCAAAUAUAGUACCAAUGUUGGACCUUGCCAGAUGAGUUUUAUCCCAAAAAGAAAAUCUAGGGGCUCCCCAUAACUACCCCUAGGAUGUUAAGAGCAUUCAUUUACGGAAUAUAACACCGAUAGCCGAAACUAAGGCAACAAAGGUGGAACAAAGCACCAGGCUAGAAGACCAAGCCUUCCACCUUUUACCAAGUAUAUAGAUGCAUUAAAUUAAAUGGCAAUAAUAUGGUGAUAUAACAAGGAACCCAUGUUGGCACAUGGAAGCAACUGCACGUGCAACUAGCAAUGCUAACAAAAGGCAACAAGUGGUAACAUAGCCAAACAGUGGUUUGCUGGGUUGUGAAAAGGUUAGAGGUUUUCAUGGCAAUGUUGGGAGGCUUAUUUAACACUUGGUAGGCAGCAAGUCAUAGAGAAAGAAAUGAGACAACUAGCAUGGCAAUGAUAGUAAUGGUAUCUAGGGAAAUGAUCAUCUUGCAUGUGAUCCCGAUUGGAAGAAGAAUGAAUUCGUGAAGGAGACGAACCGGCGUUGUCGAACGUAUCCUCACACUCUGAAACGGUUCAGAAAUCUAUCGAGAAGAAGCAACCGUAACAGCAAUCAACACACAAUACACCACAACAUAUGCAUGACAUGAUGCACAACACGUAUCAGUGGCGGAGGCCCCCGGUGGGCAAGGUGUGGCAGCCGCCACACCUUGAUUUGGUUCAAAAAAUUUAAUACAUGUAUGCAUAUCAUCAUUUGCUAGCUUGCUGGCUCUUGCUUGAUGGAAAAGAAUUGCUGAAAAAACAAAAGGGACACGCAGCCUCCCUAAUUGGGCCUAUGACAAUGCCGAGCGACGCAUGUAGAUGUUUCGUAUGGUUGUAUCUAGAAAUUUUCAUAUAUGUAUCAUCGUGUUCGUGUCUCUAUAGAUGUUUCGUAGGUUACGGUACAUGCCACUUAUCAAGAUCAAAAGGAUUCAAAAAAAUUGCGUGUUAUUAUGUUUAAGAGUCCGCCACACCUUAAUUUAUUUUUGUCCUCCGCCUCUGACACGUAUGAUGCAUGAUCAUUUCAAUUAUGCAAGGCAUGGCAUGGCAAUUCACAACAAUGAAAUACUACAUAUUAAGUGAAGCUCAAUAUGCAUCGAGUUACAUAUUGACGAAACUCCACAAACGAAUUAUUUAGUUAACUCCCGUUUAGGUACAUGGAAUAUUAAAUGUUGUUUAAACAUGCCAGACAUUAAGCACAAAUAAACUACAUAUCAAGGCAUUUUAAAUGAGGUCGGAAACGACAUAUAGCAUUUGACGACCACAUGUGUUAACUUCAAAAUCUACCAGAUAUCACCUAAACAUACUUUAUGUUUGUUUAACGGAAAAGUAAAGUGGUUCACGUGAUUGUACGUGUCAUUCUAGUCGAUUUACAUAUAUGGAUCAUCUUCAACGGAGUUGUGGUCUAAAAGAUACGUGCAGCACAAGAUAUUAUGCCAUGAAUGCAACAUGCGUGCAAAAGACAGCCAUGGCACGUUCCGGUUUCGAUAACUUGAUGAGAUACCUGUGCAAAUGAAUUGGGAGUGUGUGCGUGUCAUACCAAAGAAUGAUGGGGCGAACCCGGUUACCGAACCGAGUGCGUGAGAUACCAAAGAGUGUGUGCGUGUCACAAAAAAAUGUGAACUACAAGGGACUCGAACCGAGGUCUUCCUGCCUGAUAGCGUUGUGGGUUGACCAGCUCGGCUACGCCAUGUGCUACUAACAAAACCAGGGUUUGCUCAAUAUAAAUCUGCUAAGGAGCCAACCUGAACGAAACAUAACAAAAACGAAAAUACGGGUGCAUGGGAUUCUAACCCAGACUGCUUGCAUGCAAGGUGACGCCGCUAGCCAACUCGGCUACUCAGGUGGUCGUGGGAAAACAUAGCAGCUAUUUUAAAUAAGCUCAACAAGCAUACCAGAUCUGGCAAAAAAUAAAAAGAACUUCAGACCGGAAGGAACUACUUACAUGUGGAAAAACAAAGACGCGGCCAUGGCUAAAAGACGCACGGGAGGAUCGCGGAUGAGCUCGAGGAGGCAUGGAGUUGGGCGAGGGGCUCGAUCUGGCUAGAUUCCUGACCAUAGACGAGGCCAUAGGCGUUGGAGCUCCUUGCUCGGGAUGUGGGGAACCUCCAACCGACGGGCAAGGCGACGGAGCUGUAGCUCGAGAAGAUGACGGAGAUGGGACCUCGAGGCCUGGCUCUGCCAUGGGUGCUGUAGCUGCGGGGAUGACGAACUUGAGGUUUUGGGCUCCAUGGCGUUCCAUGUCUGCUGCACCUGCAGAAACGAGGGGGUGAGGUAAGAGAACAGGAGAGAGAGAAAAAAAUAGAGGGGGGGAGAGAGCACAGGAAAGGAGAGAGACCACGGACGCGUGGCUGGCCUGGUUCUGCUGCGGGGCUGCUCCGACGACGGCGCUCGCCGGCGCGGCUGCCGGAGUCGGACGAAUACGGCGGCGCUGGACGAGGCCCUCAGGCAGAGGCACUUCCCUCAACCCAGAUGGGAUCGAGAGCUGCGGGAGGCUGGGAGGGCUCACUACGGGCUCUGCGAGGAGUGUCGUGGCCGCUAGAUCUGCAAUCCGGUGGUCCAGAUCGGGUGAGGGGCUGGAGCUGCAGGGAGAGUUGGAGGAUGCCGGCUGGGGUGGUGCUGAAAACAAGGAGGCUAGGUGGCUGGCGGUGGCUGGAUCCUGAGG
rnacentral:lncRNA from 1 species